rnacentral:rRNA from 1 species
CUUGAACUUCGGUUUGGGUGGCGGACGGGUGAGUAACGCGUAAAGAACUUGCCUCACAGAUAGGGACAACGUUUGGAAACGAAUGCUAAUACCUGAUAUUAUGAUUUUAGGGCAUCCUAGGAUUAUGAAAGCUAUAUGCGCUGUGAGAGAGCUUUGCGUCCCAUUAGCUAGUUGGAGAGGUAACGGCUCACCAAGGCGAUGAUGGGUAGCCGGCCUGAGAGGGUGAUCGGCCACAAGGGGACUGAGACACGGCCCUUACUCCUACGGGAGGCAGCAGUGGGGAAUAUUGGACAAUGGACCAAGAGUCUGAUCCAGCAAUUCUGUGUGCACGAUGAAGUUUUUCGGAAUGUAAAGUGCUUUCAGUUGGGAAGAAAAAAAUGACGGUACCAACAGAAGAAGUGACGGCUAAAUACGUGCCAGCAGCCGCGGUAAUACGUAUGUCACAAGCGUUAUCCGGAUUUAUUGGGCGUAAAGCGCGUCUAGGUGGUUAUAUAAGUCUGAUGUGAAAAUGCAGGGCUCAACUCUGUAUUGCGUUGGAAACUGUGUAACUAGAGUACUGGAGAGGUAAGCGGAACUACAAGUGUAGAGGUGAAAUUCGUAGAUAUUUGUAGGAAUGCCGAUGGGGAAGCCAGCUUACUGGACAGAUACUGACGCUGAAGCGCGAAAGCGUGGGUAGCAAACAGGAUUAGAUACCCUGGUAGUCCACGCCGUAAACGAUGAUUACUAGGUGUUGGGGGUCGAACCUCAGCGCCC